AUUGAACGCUGGCGGCAGGCCUAACACAUGCAAGUCGCACGAGUGGCGGCCGGGUGAGUACUGUCUGGGAAACUGCCCGAUGGAGGGGGAUAACUACUGGCAACGGUAGCUAAUACCGCAUACCAUCGGAUGUUCCCCGAUGGGAUUAGCUAGUAGGUGGGGUAACGGCGCACCUAGGCGACGAUCCCUAGCUGGUCUGAGAGGAUGACCAGCCAAACUGGAACUGAGACACGGUCCAGACUCCUACGGGAGGCAGCAGUGGGGAAUAUUGCACAAUGGGCGCAAGCCUGAUGCAGCCAUGCCGCGUGUAUGAAGAAGGCCUUCGGGUUGUAAAGUACUUUCAGCGGGGAGGCGUUACCCGCAGAAGAAGCACCAGCUAACUCCGUGCCAGCAGCCGCGGUAAUUC
rnacentral:rRNA from 1 species